rnacentral:rRNA from 1 species
GAUGAACGCUGGCGGCGUGCCUAAUACAUGCCAGUCGAGCGAACGGACGAGAAGCUUGCUUCUCUGAUGUUAGCGGCGGACGGGUGAGUAGCACGUGGAUAACCUACCUAUAAGACUGGGAUAACUUCGGGAAACCGGAGCUAAUACCGGAUAAUAUUUUGAACCGCAUUGUUCAAAAGUGAAAGACGGUCUUGCUGUCACUUAUAGAUGGAUCCGCGCUGCAUUAGCUAGUUGGUAAGGUAACGGCUUACCAAGGCAACGAUGCAUAGCCGACCUGAGAGGGUGAUCGGCCACACUGGAACUGAGACACGGUCCAGACUCCUACGGGAGGCAGCAGUAGGGAAUCUUCUGCAAUGGGCGAAAGCCUGACGGAGCAACGCCGCGUGAGUGAUGAAGGUCUUCGGAUCGUAAAACUCUGUUAUUAGGGAAGAACAUAUGUGUAAGUAACUGUGCACAUCUUGACGGUACCUAAUCAGAAAGCCACGGCUAACUACGUG